GCUGCCCUCAUGUCUGCACCAGCGCCCUCCAGUGCUGCCCUCCAGUGCUGCCCUCCGGUGCUGUGUCCCCUCCUGCAGAGGAUGCGGCAAGCCUGACCCUCAGCCCCAUGUUAGUGCAGCGUUUGCGUUUUUUUGCUUGAGACGGGGUCUCAGCUCUGGUUGGCCUGGAACUCACUACAUAGACCAGGCUAACCUCAAACUCAGAGCUCCGCCUGUCUCUGCCUUCUGAAUGCUGGGAUUGAAGGUGUGUACUGCCAUACCUCCUGCGUAGAUUUAUUUUAAAUGUUUAGUUUUAUUUAUGUGUGUACAUUUAUGGCUUUGUGAAUGUAUACACACGUGUGUGCAAGUACCUGAGGAGGCCAGACACGUCAGAUUCCUACGGCAUGUGUGCGCUUCCCAGUGUGGGUGCCAGGACUUCUUGUCAAACCAUCUGUUUUAAGUUUUUACGUUUUUUUUUUUUCAGGUUUUGGCCCAUAUAGAGAUAUAAUAGUGUGUGUUAGGGAAACUGCUCUAAUAAUCUACUAGAAUGCCUUUGAAGCAUGGAAGUGUAUCUGUAACACUGUAAGCCUUGCGGCAGGCUUGCUCUUGGUGGUCACUCGGAGACCCAGGCAGAGGGACUGCAGCUUUGCAGGGCACUAGUCCUCCCUCUGCUUGGGAAGAGGAAAAGGAACCAUCUAGAGCCAGCCAAACACUUCUUGUCUCAAAGUGAGAAGGAGGUUGUACACAUUGCCUCCAGUCAGCUCCAUGGGGAAGGGCUGAUCAUCGUAGCUGCAGGGCCCUGGGAACUCCAUCUUUUCUGGGCUGCAGCCAUAUAAAAGAGAAUAUUUGUUGGUGGGCACAUAAUUGUCUGUCUGUAGUUAGCUUCAAGAUUUCGGCUGGGAAGUUCCAUCCAGACCUUGCGUCCUCCUCAAAGGCCACAGCCCCUGGCUGAUGGGCAGUAAUUCUCCAACAGUCCACAUGACCUAUGAGCUAGAAGCCAACUGUCUGUCUCACAUUGGCCCAUCACAGCCUGUGAUGCUGGGGUAGAAAAAUGAAGAGUACCACUUGGAAAAGAAAUACACACUGUCUGAGUAGGAACCGCCAAGACCACAGCCCCCAACAGUGGGCUUUGUUUCUGCCUUCUACAAGGACUUUUAUGUCACCCAAGGGCCACCACCAUCCUUGGCCACAUUCUGAGGGAGUGUGGGGAGUAAGUCGUUCUAGAAGAUGAACAGCUUUGGUGGCCAGCCUCUUGCUGGCGUCAGCUUGCAGCCUAGCAUCUGCGGUAGGAACCAUAGUCAUAAGUCUUUUUCAUAGCAGAUUCUUGGCUGUUGGCAGUCUGUCACCUCUGUCACAGGCUCUGGUCUCUUUAUUUCUCUCCCAUGUGUUUAUCAGGGACCCAGGUUCAGUGACUUCACUUCUGCCUCUUGCUCACCGCUUUGCAUGGCUGUGUCAGGGUCUGAGUCUGGGUGUGUGUCUUGUCUCUCUGUUUUAUUAAUGACCGAUCAUCCAAAAUCCUAGACUUACAUGAAGGAGACUUGGGUCUGAUUUUCACUAAAUGGGGCUACCUGCAUGCUAGGCAAGUGCUCUGCCUCUGAUCCAUACCUCCAGCCUGCAUGAACUGAUUGACAGGGCCUUUAUGGCCCAGUGUUUAGUCUUUUGUUUUAUUCUGUUGUUUUUUGAGACAGGGUCUCACUAUGUAUACGUGGCUGUCCUGGAACUCACUAUGUAGACCAGGCUUGCCUCUGCCUUCCAAGUGUUGGAAUUACAGCCUUUGCUUGGAGAGAGAGCAGCACUCCUGUGUCGACCCUCUUGUCUGUCCACAUGUCCACCUCUCCACUGAUUAAACAGUGCCAACAGAGAAACAGGCUGGAGGUAACCUUGGGACUUCUGCUGGGGUGAGGAGAGUGGGCAGUCUUGUGGCGUGCAUUUCACCUGUGGCAUCUGCACCAGCUCUGCAGGGUGCUAGCAAGACUUAAACUGAACUGCAGAAUACCCAGGGGGCAUCAAGGUUCAGACAUGGGAGCCACCCACACACUGGUGUCAGAAGUGUUAGUAAUAAAGCAGUCACCCUCGCUUUUAUUAUGCUCCGCCUUCUCUGCAUUUCCUCUGUAGCUCAUUCACUUUCUCUUCGUUCAUAGAAUUUUUUUUUUAAUUUAGGGGUUUUAUUGUUGUCAUUUUUGUUGGGAUUUGUUUGUUUUUGAGACAGGGUCUCUCUUUGUAGCCCUAACUGCCCUGGAAUUUGGCCAGGCUGGCUGCUUUUCUGCCUCCCAAUUGUUAGGGUUAAAGGCAUGCACCACCACACCUGCUUUCAUAGAAUUUUAUUUUAUUUUAUUAAGAAAAAUUUUUCAUUCAUUUUACACACCAAUCAAAGAUCCCCCUCUUCCCUCCUCCUGCCCCCCCAGCCUCCCCCUCCUAACCCACUUCCCCCCACAAGAAGGCAAGGCUUCCCAUGGGGAGACACAUCCAGUAGAGGCAAGUCCAAGCCCUUCCCCCGUGCCUCAAGGCUGCACGAGGUGUCUCAUCCUAGGGUGUCCUCAUGCACCAGGGAUGAAUUCUGAUCCUACCGCCAGGGGACCCCCCAAGCAGAUCAAGCUACACAUAUAUCUCACUGUGCAGAGGAAAUUAGCACAAGAGAGCUGAGGAAUAGAGCACUUGCCUGGUGUGCAGGAGGCCCUGGGUGUUCCAUCCCCACCAUUGCCAAAAAAAAAAAAAAAAAAAGAAA